UACGAAGGUGGCAAGCGUUACUCGGAAUUACUAGGCGUAAAGGGCAGGUAGGUGGUCUGAUAAGUCUGUUGUGAAAGCUCCCGGCUUAACUGGGAGAGGUCAACAGAAACUAUCAGGCUUGAGUAUGGGAGAGGGUACUGGAAUUCCCGGUGUAGCGGUGAAAUGCGCAGAGAUCGGGAGGAACACCAGUGGCGAAGGCGACUUCCUGGCCUGUUCUUGACGCUGAGGCGCGAAAGCUAGGGGAGCAAACGGG
rnacentral:rRNA from 1 species